UACGUAGGGGGCAAGCGUUGUCCGGAUUUAUUGGGCGUAAAGAGCGUGUAGGCGGCCAUACAGGUCCGUUGUGAAAACUCGAGGCUCAACCUCGAGACGUCGGUUGAAACCACCUGGCUAGAGUCCGGAAGAGGAGAGUGGAAAUUCCCGGUGUAGCGGUGAAAUGCGCAGAUAUCGGGAAGAACACCCGUGGCGAAGGCGGCUCUCUCGGGACGGUACUGACGCUGAGACGCGAAAGCGUGGGGAGCGAACAGGA
rnacentral:rRNA from 1 species